rnacentral:rRNA from 1 species
UACGAAGGGGGCUAGCGUUGCUCGGAAUCACUGGGCGUAAAGGGUGCGUAGGCGGGCUCUUAAGUCAGGGGUGAAAUCCUGGAGCUCAACUCCAGAACUGCCUUUGAUACUGGAGGUCUUGAGUUCGGGAGAGGUGAGUGGAACUGCGAGUGUAGAGGUGAAAUUCGUAGAUAUUCGCAAGAACACCAGUGGCGAAGGCGGCUCACUGGCCCGAUACUGACGCUGAUGCGCGAAAGCGUGGGGAGCAAACAGG